GUUUCUCUUUCGAUCCCAGGCCCUUUUGUGUGUCUCUUUCCACCCCAGCCCCUUUCUGUGUCUCUUUCUUCUGUUCCCCAGCCUUUCUGUGUGUCUCUUCCUCUCUUCCAGCCCCUUUGUGUCUAUGUCUCCUAUUCCCUCUGUGUGCCUCUUCCCUUCAGUCCCUUUCAUGUAAUUAUUUCUCACCCUUCCCCCCCUACACCCUUCUUAUGUAUUUUCCUACGCUUGACCAGCUUUGACCCAGAAGAGGAGCUAAGUCCGCUCCAUCUCCUGUGGUCAAAGAAAUUUUCCCACAAUACUCACCUCUCCUACGUGUUUUCCUGUUGCUUCAUUCGCCAUUCGAACUACCGAAUUUCAUCCUAACAGAAUGAGAACAGAUUGUCCAUUCGUGUUAGGACACAAUUCGGUACUUAUUGUUCGGUUCGAAAUUUUAUUGGAAUGAAUCAAAUUCC